rnacentral:rRNA from 1 species
UACAGAGGUCCCGAGCGUUGUUCGGAUUUAUUGGGCGUAAAGGGUGCGUAGGUGGCAAAGUAAGUUGGAUGUGAAAUCCUGGGGCUCAACCUCAGAAUUGCAUUCAAUACUGCUUAGCUAGAGAGCUGUAGAGGAGACUGGAAUUUACGGUGUAGCAGUGAAAUGCGUAGAUAUCGUAAGGAACGCCAGUGGCGAAAGCGAGUCUCUGGGCAGCAUCUGACACUGAGGCACGAAGGCCACGGGAUCAAACGGG